rnacentral:rRNA from 1 species
UAACAGCUCAAAUUUGAAAUCUGGCUCCUCCUGGAGUCCGAAUUGUAAUUUGUAGAAGAUGCUUUGGGUUGUGGGUUCGGCCUAAGUUCCUUGGAACAGGACGUCAUAGAGGGUGAGAAUCCCGUAUGUGGCCGAGGCCCGCGCCUAUGUAAAGCUCUUUCAACGAGUCGAGUUGUUUGGGAAUGCAGCUCAAAAUGGGUGGUAAAUUUCAUCUAAAGCUAAAUAUGGGCCAGAGACCGAUAGCGCACAAGUAGAGUGAUCGAAAGAUGAAAAGCACUUUGGAAAGAGAGUUAAACAGUACGUGAAAUUGUUGAAAGGGAAGCGCUUGCACCCAGACUUGGGCGCUGCUGAUCACCUUGAGGUCUCCUCGAGUGCACUCGACAGCGCACAGGCCAGCAUCGGUUCGGGUGGCUGGAUAAAGGCCGUAGGAACGUAGCUCUCUUCGGGGAGUGUUAUAGCCUACGGUGCCAUGCAGCCCAGCCGGACCGAGGACCGCGCCUUCGGGCUAGGAUGCUGGCGUAAUGGGUGUAAGCGACCCGUCUUGAAACACGGACCAAGGAGUCUAACAUCUAUGCGAGUGUUUGGGUGGUAAACCCAUACGCGGAAUGAAAGUGAACGUAGGUGAGAACCCCCUUUGGGGGCGCAUCAUCGACCGAUCCUGAUGUCUU